rnacentral:rRNA from 1 species
GACGAACGCUGGCGGCGUGCCUAAUACAUGCAAGUUGAGCGCUGAAGGUUGGUACUUGUACCGACUGGAUGAGCAGCGAACGGGUGAGUAACGCGUGGGGAAUCUGCCUUUGAGCGGGGGACAACAUUUGGAAACGAAUGCUAAUACCGCAUAAAAACUUUAAACACAAGUUUUAAGUUUGAAAGAUGCAAUUGCAUCACUCAAAGAUGAUCCCGCGUUGUAUUAGCUAGUUGGUGAGGUAAAGGCUCACCAAGGCGAUGAUACAUAGCCGACCUGAGAGGGUGAUCGGCCACAUUGGGACUGGGACACGGCCCAAACUCCUACGGGAGGCAGCAGUAGGGAAUCUUCGGCAAUGGACGAAAGUCUGACCGAGCAACGCCGCGUGAGUGAAGAAGGUUUUCGGAUCGUAAAACUCUGUUGGUAGAGAAGAACGUUGGUGAGAGUGGAAAGCUCAGCAAGUGACGGUAACUACCCAGAAAGGGACGGCUAACUACGUG